rnacentral:rRNA from 1 species
UACGAGGGGGACAAGCGUUGUUCGGAAUUAUUGGGCGUAAAGGGCGCGUAGGCGGUCGGGUAAGUCUGAUGUGAAAUCUCACAGCUUAACUGUGAAACUGCAUUGGAUACUAUCCGGCUCGAGGAAUGGAGGGGAGACUGGAAUACUUGGUGUAGCAGUGAAAUGCGUAGAUAUCAAGUGGAACACCAGUGGCGAAGGCGAGUCUCUGGACAUUUCCUGACGCUGAGGCACGAAAGCCAGGGGAGCAAACGGG